rnacentral:rRNA from 1 species
ACCAACAGGGAUUGCCCUAGUAACGGCGAGUGAAGCGGCAACAGCUCAAAUUUGAAAUCUGGCCUCGGCCCGAGUUGUAAUUUGCAGAGGAUGCUUCUGGCGCGGUGCCUUCCGAGUUCCCUGGAACGGGACGCCACAGAGGGUGAGAGCCCCGUAUGGUCGGACACCAAGCCUGUGUGAAGCUCCUUCGACGAGUCGAGUAGUUUGGGAAUGCUGCUCUAAAUGGGAGGUAAAUCUCUUCUAAAGCUAAAUACCGGCCAGAGACCGAUAGCGCACAAGUAGAGUGAUCGAAAGAUGAAAAGCACCUUGAAAAGGGGGUUAAAUAGUACGUGAAAUUGUUGAAAGGGAAGCACUUAUGACCAGACUUGGGCCGGGCGGCUCAUCAGGGGUUCUCCCCUGUGCACUCCGCCCGGCACAGGCCAGCAUCGGUUUUCGCGGGGGGAUAAGACCGGCGGGAACGUAGCACCCUCCGGGGUGUGUUAUAGCCCACCGGACGAUACCCUCGCGGGGACCGAGGUCCGCGCUCCGCAAGGAUGCUGGCGUAAUGGUCAUCAGUGACCCGUCUUGAAACACGGACCAAGGAGUCGUCCAUUAGAGCGAGCGUUUGGGUGUAAAACCCGCACGCGUAAUGAAAGUGAACGCAGGUGAGAGCUUCGGCGCAUCAUCGACCGAUCCUGAUGUUCUCGGAAGGAUUUGAGUAAGAGUUUUAACGGACGGACCCGAAAGACAGUGAACUAUGCUUGUAUAGGGUGAAGCCAGAGGAAACUCUGGUGGAGGCUCGCAGCGGUUCUGACGUGCAAAUCGAUCGUCAAAUAUGAGCAUGGGGGCGAAAGACUAAUCGAACUGUCUAGUAGCUGGUUACCGCCGAA